rnacentral:rRNA from 1 species
CGGACGGGUGAGUAACGCGCGGGUAACCUGCCCUGUACAGGGGGAUAACAAUCAGAAAUGACUGCUAAUACCGCAUAAGACCACAGCACCGCAUGGUGCAGGGGUAAAAACUCCGGUGGUACAGGAUGGACCCGCGUCUGAUUAGCUGGUUGGUGAGGUAACGGCUCACCAAGGCGACGAUCAGUAGCCGGCUUGAGAGAGUGAACGGCCACAUUGGGACUGAGACACGGCCCAA